UCCUACGGGAGGCAGCAGUGGGGAAUUUUGGACAAUGGGCGAAAGCCUGAUCCAGCAAUGCCGCGUGUGUGAAGAAGGCCUUCGGGUUGUAAAGCACUUUUGUCCGGAAAGAAAUCCUGGUGGSUAAUAUCCGCCGGGGAUGACGGUGCCGGAAGAAUAAGCACCGGCUAACUACGUGCCAGCAGCCGCGGUAAUACGUAGGGUGCGAGCGUUAAUCGGAAUUACUGGGCGUAAAGCGUGCGCAGGCGGUGAUGUAAGACCGAUGUGAAAUCCCCGGGCUUAACCUGGGAACUGCAUUGGUGACUGCMUCGCUGGAGUAUGGCMGAGGGGGGUAGAAUUCCACGUGUAGCARUGAAAUGCGUAGAGAUGUGGAGGAAUACCGAUGGCGAAGGCAGCCCCCUGGGCCAAUACUGACGCUCAUGCACGAAAGCGUGGGGAGCAAACAGGAUUAGAUACCCUGGUAGUCCACGCCCUAAACGAUGUCAACUGGUUGUCGGGCCUUCAU
rnacentral:rRNA from 1 species